rnacentral:rRNA from 1 species
CAGCCGCCGCGGGAAUACAGAGGGUGCAAGCGUUAAUCGGAAUUACUGGGCGUAAAGCGCGCGUAGGUGGUUUGUUAAGUUGGAUGUGAAAGCCCCGGGCUCAACCUGGGAACUGCAUCCAAAACUGGCAAGCUAGAGUACGGUAGAGGGUGGUGGAAUUUCCUGUGUAGCGGUGAAAUGCGUAGAUAUAGGAAGGAACACCAGUGGCGAAGGCGACCACCUGGACUGAUACUGACACUGAGGUGCGAAAGCGUGGGGAGCAAACAGGAUUAGAUACCCGGGUAGUCCCUGUCUCUUAUAC